ACUGUAAGGAUACUCAAAGAACAUCAGGACAACCUGAAUGCUGCAAAAAAGGAGCUUGGCAUUGAUGAUGACACUGUGCAGCUGUGGGUGGCUGAUGUGCAGAAGUGGGCAAGAGGAAACUGAUCAAAGUGAUGGUAGCCUUGGUGCAAUACAGGCAUGGAUAGAGGAGCUGGCUGUCCUCGUCAAAGUACGCAGCCUAAACCUUUUCAAACAAACAGAUAGCAACAAGAGGCGACAUAAGAUACAAAAAGUUAUUUUAAAUGACAAAAAAAUGCCUGGCAGCAGCUGUUGCCGAGUACAAUCAUCUGGCUGAACCGUGGGACAAGUGGCCUUGGCAAAGUGAAAACCUUCACACCAAAAGGAAGGUAUUUGAUAAGUUUAUGGCUGUGCAAUGCCUGAAGGAGGAAGAAGUAAUCCUCUGUAAGGAAAUGCUGCAACACUGGACAACACUAAAGCAAAUACUUGACACUGGGAGCCCUUUCUUCAAACUGUAAGCACAUCUAUGUCUGUGUCACUGUUUAUUUGAAUAGAAGUGUCUGCAGUAUUUUACUACACUUUCACCUUAAAUACAGUUUUGCUGAAGUGAGUAUGUUUGGUGUAGAUCCCCAUUUCCGUGAUUACAACAAUUAACUAGGCAGUCUGGAAUGCAUGUGCACACUAACAAAUGUUAUUGACUUCGUUAUUGAUUUGUCGUUAUGUUUUUGCAGCCUCUCUUGUUGACUUCUCUGAGGAUGCACAAAAAGGACUGCAGUGUCUGGUUCAUCAGAGGCUCAGCAAACUGAAAGCAGAAAUGCUUUUAGUCAACAGCCAAAACAAAACUAUCCUGAAUGAUAACUCACACCUGGAGAUGGAGUUGGAAGAAGAAGACAUAGAACUUGAUGCUAUAGACUCUGAUUUCAGCUGUUCUGAUGAGGACUUCUGAUGAGGACUGUUGUUGUGGUGGCGGGUGUUGUGGUUGUUGACGUGUUGAUGGAUGUGGUUACUGUAGUUGAGAUUGUUGUUGUAUUAUGGUGCUUGUACCCUUGGGUUCUGCAACUUUGCCUGGGGUUUUGUUGUGUACAAUGUUGAAAGGGUUUCUAUGGCUUUGGAUCGAGGUGUCAUAGAAAAUCAAUAAUCAUUGUGUGUUAAUGUGUUAAAUAAUCGAGAUAUCAAACCUCAAACAUAGCUAAUUCCUCAUCUGUCCAUAAAAGAUUGUG
ensembl:lncRNA